GACGUAGGGGGCGAGCGUUGUCCGGAAUUACUGGGCGUAAAGAGCACGUAGGCGGGAACUUAAGUCAGGUGUGAAAGACCGAGGCUCAACCUCGGGUAUGCACUUGAAACUGGGUUUCUUGAGGGCAGGAGAGGAAAGCAGAAUUCCUGGUGUAGCGGUGAAAUGCGUAGAAAUCAGGAGGAAUACCAGUGGCGAAGGCGGCUUUCUGGACUGACCCUGACGCUGAGGUGCGAAAGCGUGGGUAGCAAACAGGAUUAGAUACCCCGGUAGUCCCUGAG
rnacentral:rRNA from 1 species